rnacentral:rRNA from 1 species
AUUGAACGCUGGCGGCAUGCCUUACACAUGCAAGUCGAACGGUAACGCGGGGCAACCUGGCGACGAGUGGCGAACGGGUGAGUAACGCAUCGGAACGUGCCCAGUAGUGGGGGAUAGCCCGGCGAAAGCCGGAUUAACACCGCAUACGACCUACGGGUGAAAGGGGGGGAUCGCAAGACCUCUCGCUAUUGGAGCGGCCGAUGUCAGAUUAGGUAGUUGGUGGGGUAAAGGCCUACCAAGCCUGCGAUCUGUAGCUGGUCUGAGAGGACGACCAGCCACCCUGGGACGGAGACACGGCCCAGACUCCUACGGGAGGCAGCAGUGGGGAAUUUUGGACAAUGGGCGCAAGCCUGAUCCAGCCAUGCCGCGUGCGGGAAGAAGGCCUUCGGGUUGUAAACCGCUUUUGUCAGGGAAGAAAAGCCUUGGGUUAAUACCCUGGGGUGAUGACGGUACCUGAAGAAUAAGCACCGGCUAACUACGUGCCAGCCGCCGCGGUAA